rnacentral:lncRNA from 1 species
UUGGAAACAAGCAAAGAAGAGAUUAUGAGCAGUAUGAUGAUCUCUGUCUCAUCCCAGACAGGAACUGCUUCAAAGAGUGGCAUAAACAACCGUAAAUAGCAAAAAACGCCUGGAAGAAUUAGUAUAAAUAUGUAAAUAGUUUCUGUUGUGUGUUUGUUCCAAUCACAAUAUUUCUACUCCUGAUAGUCAAGACUUGACAGAAUGAUGUGCAGGUGGGAAAAGGCUUGGUCACUUUAGAUUUAUGUGUUUUUUGAUGGAUCUGAAUCUACCGUCACAUUCAUUUUACAUAAUUUUUGCUCCCAUCACUACAGAAGCAUCUCUACUAAUAAGUCUGGUCCUGCUCGGGGUUUUCUGCCUGUUUUAAAGAAGCUCCUCUGUGUCUGUCUGAUCAUUCUGACAUUAAAAGUGACUAAUUGUAAAAGUGACACCUUAUAACCGUAAAACAUGAGAUGAACAUUUAUAGAGAAAUAAGUCAAUCUUCCAACAAGAGAUAAAAAUGAAUUCAUAGGAAAGAAAACUCUCGACUCAGCCCACUCAGGGGUUUUUACUGCUUGAUGUGGUGAUGCAGAUUGAAUAUGAUGUUUUUCACAUGGCUGAGUCACUCUUGAGUUUUUGACUCUGCUUGGGUUUUUUGCAUUAUAAGUCAUCGUCACAUAAGCUCUUAAAACAACAACAACAACAAAAUUCUGAAAACUUAUGAGAAAUCCUGGUGUGAAUGCAAACGGUCAAAUUUUUCACUUCAGCCAUGUGACGGGUGUUCUGCUGGUUAGAGAAAUGUUACCGCAGAGAGAAGUGACAGCAGACGCUGUGAGUUUGCACUUUUUAUUCACGUUUGAAUGACCACAAGGGCAAGUGUAGAAAAAACUGUUAUUUCAGAUUUUAGGAGAAGUGUGUCUCAGUGGACCAAUCUUGACAUUAGUCUAUUAAGAGAGUGUUUUUCUUGCUAAUGUGUUUGUCGAUUGUUUUGGCAUGGGAAGUAUGGUGCCUUCAAGUGGAUACUGAAGUUUUGGAAGGAAGAGCUCCUGAAAUUUUCCCAACAUUUUCCAGUGUGUGCAAAAUCAGCUGUAUACUACACUCUAAAAACUCUUGGGUUAUUUCUUCAACCCAAUUACUGGGUACUACAUGUUGAAUUAAAUUAAAUUUCUGGGUUAUUUUUCAGAUCCAUACCCAUUUCAUGGGUCAUAUGGAUUCUAUUGUAACCCAAUUUGAGGGUUUUUUGAAUGGGUUAAUAAUUAUGGGUUAUUUUUCUGAGAGUAGCCCAAUAAUUGGGUCAGAACGUUGGGUUCGAUUGACUCUAUGUGGUUUCUUGGGCUGUGUCCAAAAUGAAUCACUCAAUCUCUAACCUCCAUAAGGGGUUUCAGUAUAUAGUUGACUAUGUAGUGAACUCAAUCACCCGAGGUUUCAGACACGACAUGGCAAGGCGCAAUGCAUGACGGGAUGCCCACCACCGGUGAUUGACCAUCGGAUGGUCACUACAUUUUGCAAUGCUCUGUGGGAAAUUUUGGGUCGCCUAUAUAGGGCACUGGAAUUGAUCACUCAGGUUUCGGACACCUCUCAAAAUGGCGCUAACCCCCAUAUAGUCACCUAUAUAGGGGUUGGGGAUCCAUUUCGGACACAGCCUAAGCCUAAUGGCAAUUAAAGUGACCUGGUGACAUUGUGAACUUUGACCUUGAUUUUAAAUAAUAUAUAUAUCUUUUGGCUGGGGGUUCAAAUCCUGCAUGCGACACAUCUGUACAGAGCAAACUGCAUCCACCAGUGUGGGUCCCUAGCCAAGGCCCAUAGCGCCAUGGCUUACAAUCACUUCGAUAAAAAUACACGGGAUAAUAGGGUACAGGUUGUAAAAGCAAAGCUCCCAAAAAAAAAGCUCUCCAAAUGCAUAUAUAAAUUUAACCCAAGAUCAUGAGUCGAAUUAACUCGAAGAUUGCGUUGACCCUUAAAAAAGGGUUAUUGAGUCAACCCAAAAUUUGGGUUUAUUUGAAUAACCCAACAUUCGGGGUCAAAAUAACCCAAGAAGUAGUCGGCCCCUUUUCAACCUGGGGGUUUUUAGAGUGUACUAUUUCUUCAUCAGUUUUAGGUUUACCAAGUUCAGUUUUGAAGCCAAGGAGUUAAAGUUUAUCAUUUCCAGUCAGAAAACAUACAAAAGACAACAAUCAUUCUCUAUUCCAACUCUUACUCUAACUGUCAGCUUCACCAGAUGUUUGACACUUGACUUGAUCAGAUAAACUACUUAUUAUGUGAAUUUGUCUUUACUCAAAAUGUGAUUAAAGAUGAGUGUUUAUUGUCCUUUCUGCCAGUUAUCUGGGUUUCACAGUAACUGUACCACUCAUAGUGAGAAGGAGCGGCUGAUUUUCAGAGAUGAAAGUUUGGUCUUGAUAACUUGCAUUAUGACACCAAAGUUAGCCCACACUCACUCAUAUCAGUACUUAAACAUGCUCUAUUUGUUUUCUCUGUUUUGCAGGUCGGUGGUGUUGCAGACCCCCUGUGCAGAUGCAGGCGUCGCAUUGCCGCGAACUGAAGAGGCAGAGCUGAAUGGAGAAGAUGCGAAGGCGGAAGCGGGCAGAGUUAAUUCAGUUUCACAGUCUUAAUGAAUCGCACACACUUUUACACACAAAAACAGAGAGUACAUGGUUUUAAUACUAUCCACUUCCCUCUUUCUGUGAGAGGACACACACAGGCACCCUGAAUGGGCCCCUGUGGUGAUCAGCUCUGUGGUCGGGAAGUACCUAGUGUUACAACUGUCACGCUGCUCUGCUUAAAGGGACAGAGUGGAGCGUUUUCACAUGCAGUGUCCUUUCUGAAUCAAACUGUACAUCUAAGAUCUGCUGAAGGGUUUAAAAAGUCUGAGAGCAUGAGUCAAGUAACUCGAAGUUAAGACAUGUUUUGAAUUUAAUUCUAUUUCUAUCUAUUGUUUAUAUAUGUGAUUUGAAGGGUUAAAGGGUUAAGAGUAAAAAAUUGCACCAAAAAGUGACAUUAAUUUCGGUUUAUCAGAGUAAUAAGAGCAUGCACACAUCACUCAGAUCUCAUCCUUAAAUAGACUCUGCGUACUUGUUUUCUUCUGGUCUUUAAGUUGCCCCCGUAGAAGUUUCUGUUGUUGAAGUGAGGAAAGUCCAAGAUAGACAUGACUCACUCCUCAUUUUUGGUCUUUAUGUAGAUAUCACAAGGUUUUGAGGCGGGUUUGAGGUCAUCACCCUGCAACAGAAUGAAACCUCCCUUACGAAGAUGCACACCGUUAGGCUAGAUGCAGUGUUUUGUCCCAGAGGGGGAUUUACCCUGAGAAAAAGUGCAAAAGUACAAAGGUUUGUGCAACUUUGCAACUUAAGAUAGCUACCACACAACAAUCAAGAAGAGAUACAACAUUAGAAAUAACAUGUUCCUUCAAAAGGAAAAAUGAUGGGAAACUCCAGAAAACAGCACAAAAAAGUGAAUGCUAAAAAGAGAUUAGACUAAUACAUACAUUUAGAUUUGGACUUUUUUGGGGUAAAGAUCUGUUUCUCAUUGAUUCCACGACUUGAGUGACUUCUAUAUGUACAACUUCUACAAACCUGUUACUGACAUCAAUCCCAAACUUGAAUAAAACCCUAAAUUCCGCCUUUUUUCACAGACAUCCUCUCCGACUUUCUUAAGUAUUUAAGUAACCUCAAAGUGUUUCGUCAUAUUGCUGUUUGUCAGACAGGAUUUAGAAAUGUCUGCUGUCUUCUCAGAUCUGUGGUGGCCCUUAAGGUCCAUGGCACGAAUGUUUCAGAAAGAUAAAUCAUAAAACAUUUCAUGAAAUUCAAAAACAUUGUGAAACAUAAAAUAUUCUGUAAACAGGAAGUGUGUUCUAACUACUUCUACAAAAGGAGUGCAAAAUAUUUUAGAAACAUCAAAUAUAUUUUUUCAAAAUUCCAAUGUAUUUUUUUUUUUUGUAAAAGUUUGUGUUUCUGAAGAAUUUUUAAAAAAUUCAAAAUUUAUUUUUGUGUUUUCAAAAUAAAUCCUCUCUGACUUCCUUAAAUAUGUGAGUAACCUCAAAGUGUUUCGCCAUAUUCCUGUUAAUCAGACAGGAUUUAGAAAUGUCUGCUGUCCUCUUAGAGCUAUGGUGGCCCUGAAGGUCCAUGGCACAGAUGUUUCAGAAAGGCAGUGAAAAGAUAAAGCAUAAAACACAAAAACAUUUCAGCAAAUUCAAAAUCAUCACGAAACAUAAAAUAUUCUGUAACCAAAAAGUGUGCUUUAAAAACUACUCCUGAAAAAGGAUUGCAAAGUAUUUCAGAAACAUCAACAUCAAAUAUAUUUUUUUAAAAUUCCAAUGUAUUCUUGUUUUGAAAGUUUGUGUUUUCAAAGUAUUUUUAAAAAGUGUCAAAAUUAGUUUUUGUGUUUUCAAAUUAAUUUUGGGUUUCAGAAAUAUCAUUAUGAUGUAUAAUUUUAUUUUCAUUUCAAAACUGUUUUAUGUUUUAACAUUUUUUUUCAGAAAUAUUUUUUUCCAACAUAUAUUUUGUAUAAAUGUCAGAUAUUUUUGUAUUUUGAAGAAUGCUUUAGGGUGUUAUGCCUCUCUUUGUCUUAUAUUUAUUUACCUGUUUCUGUGUUUGAUUAAAUAUUUAUCUUUUAUGUCAUAAUGUGCCGUUGCUCUUCAGGGCCACCGUACAUGACGAGUGCUUGACAGCCUUGUCUUGCAGUACUUUUGGAUGACAUGGUCACUUUUGGUCUGCCUGGAUAGACUUCAUACGUGUUUGACUGCAUUUCAGCAAAACGUUGAAGAUCUUUCUCUUGCGUCGCUGCUUUUUACUAAAGACUUAAAAAGCAUAAAUAAAAUGUUAGUUCCAGUUAGUUACAUAUUUCUUUGAAGCCAGUUUUAUAAGCUUUGAAAAAUGGUGAAAACUUAUCAAAUUUGCACAUUUUGACAAAACUCUAACCUCUAUCAUGAGACUUUAUGUGUAUGGUGCUGUGGGAAAGUAUGAUCUGGUGUAAAUGUGUCUUCACAGGAAAUAAGAAAAAGCAUCUCUAAUCUCACUUGAGUUUAUACUUUCAUUUUCUGUCUGCAGGGGUGAAUUUCCUUGCACUGUACACUGUUGAGUGUUUCUGUAAAACUGCCCACUCUCUCUAAAUAAAUUGUUCAUACUGGGAAA